rnacentral:rRNA from 1 species
CUACGUGCCAGCAGCCGCGGUAAUACGUAGGUCUCGAGCGUUGUCCGGAUUUAUUGGGCGUAAAGGGAGCGCAGGCGGUUUAGUAAGUCUGAAGUUAAAGGCAUUGGCUCAACCAAUGUAUGCUUUGGAAACUGUUAGACUUGAGUGCAGAAGGGGAGAGUGGAAUUCCAUGUGUAGCGGUGAAAUGCGUAGAUAUAUGGAGGAACACCGGUGGCGAAAGCGGCUCUCUGGUCUGUCACUGACGCUGAGGCUCGAAAGCGUGGGUAGCGAACAGGAUUAGAUACCCUGGUAGUCCACGCCGUAAACGCUGAGUGCUAGGUGUUAGGUCCUUUCCGGGACUUAGUGCCGACGCUAACGCAUUAAGCACUCCGCCUGGGGAGUACGACCGCAAGGUUGAAACUCAAAGGAAUUGACGGGGGCCCGCACAAGCGGUGGAGCAUGUGGUUUAAUUCGAAGCAACGCGAAGAACCUUACCAGGUCUUGACAUCCCGAUGCCCGCUCUAGAGAUAGAGUUUUACUU